CAGGACGUAGCUUACACCAAAGCAUUCAGCUUACACCUGAAAGAUAUCUGCCCCUAUCAGAUCAUCCUGA
rnacentral:tRNA from 1 species